rnacentral:rRNA from 1 species
GGAGUCAAUUAGCUAAAGUUGUUAGAAUUUAAAUGUGGGGUAAGUAAAUCAAUAUAAAGGAAAAAGUUUGGUAUUGGGUAAAGAUAAAAUUAAGAAAGCAAUAAAUAAAGUACCGUGAGGGAAGAGAAGAAAUAAAUGAAAACAAAUUUAGGAUAAAGUAGAUGUAGUAUCGUACCUUUUGUAUCAGGGUUUAUUAAAUAUAGGAGGGGAAUUCUAAAAUCUCGAUGUAGGGAGGGCUAUUGUGUUAUAUUAAAUAAGGUGGCAAACUUAUUGGGCAUAAUGAGAUAGCAACGAAAAGUUAAGCGAUCCUUAUAGUUUCUAGUUUCUUAAGAAAUGAAUUUAAUUCAGGAAUAAUUAGAAUUUUGGGGAUUGAGCCCAGGAUUUACAAUUAUUCUACUAAUCUGAGGGAUAAGCUUUGGGUUAGGAUUAAAACUGAACUUAAACAGAAAAAUCUGUAGGCUUGAAAGUAGCCAUCGUUGAAGGAUGUUAUAAUUUAUUUUUUGAGGAUUUAAUUUUAUUGGGUUUAAAGAUUUAUUAAGAAACCAUUUUUAAUUAGUUAAAUGAGGUAUAAUGAUAAAAUAAGUAGAAUGACAAGAUAAUGGUAGUAAUUUUAGUAAGGAACUCGGCAAAUAUAGUGCUCGCCUGUUUAUCAAAAACAUCGCCUUUUGGGAAAAUAAAAGGUCUGACCUGCCCACUGAAAAUUUUAAAGGGCCGCGGUAUUUUGACCGUGCAAAGGUAGCAUAAUCAUUAGUCUUCUAAUUAAAGGCUGGAAUGAAUGGUUGGACGAGGUACUAGCUGUCUCACUAAAAUAGAUUUGAAUUUAGCUUUUUAGUCAAAAGGCUAAAAUGUAGUUGGAGGACGAGAAGACCCUAUAGAGCUUUACGUUAAACUUUUUUAAUUUGUUUUGUAAGACUUUGAUUUUAAAAUUUAAACGUUUCGUUGGGGUGACGGGAAGAUAAAGGAAACUCUUCUUAAAAAUUUGACAUUGAUGAAUGGUUAAUUGAUCCAUUAAUAGUGAUUACAAGACUAAGUUACCUUAGGGAUAACAGCGUAAUCUUUUUUGAGAGUUCUAAUCGACAAAAAGGGUUGCGACCUCGAUGUUGGACUAAGGGUUAUUUUUGGGUGUAGCAGCUCAAAGUUUAGGUCUGUUCGACCUUUGAAUCCUUACAUGAUCUGAGUUCAGACCGGCGUAAGCCAGGUCGGUUUCUAUCCUCAAUUAAAAGGAAUAUUUUAGUACGAAAGGACCAAAUAUUUAAGAUAAUCUUAAAUUGUGAAUAAUAAUAACAA